GCCUAAUGUGUUCAAAUCUACACCAUAAAGAUGCUCUGACCUCCCAGUGUUCCAAAGCCUGGGUUCCAGGCUGGUUACUGUUGCCAGUACAGCAUUGAUGCUCUGAGAAUAAAGAGUAACCUUCCUGACCCAGGCCAGGAGAAGCUUUAGACACUGAGCAAAGUUCUCAGUCUACGCCUCCAGAGAUUGAAACAGAAUGGAAGAGAAUAUAUCCUGGAGAAGAGAUCUCAAAUGAAAGAGGAGAAGAAGAUGAAAGAGAAGGGGGAGAGGAAAAGAAUAUGACAGACAACAGACUAUGCAACUCAGUCUUUCCAAACAUGAGUGGAGACAGAUGAAAAAGGUUCCCAAGAAGAGGAAGAAUCCUACAGGACCUGAAAAUGAUACAAUUUCUUUAGCAAAGCAUUUUUUCUGAAGCCUUGCUAAGUAGUUCUGCCUUCCUAGCUCACAGAAUUGUUAUUUUCUUUCAUUAAUAUCAUUAUUAUUGUAUUAAUGUAUAAUCAUCAUAAUUUAUAUUACAUAUAAUCUAGUUGUGUUAUUAUAGAAUUGUCAUUAAUUAUUAAAUAUAAUUAAAUAUAAA